ACUCCCUGGUGGGACUCUGUCUGUGACUUGUGUAGUCUUGAAUGGUCACAUCACAGGCAGAGUUCUAGUUAGGUGG
rnacentral:pre_miRNA from 12 species